GAUGAACGCUGGCGGCGUGCCUAAUACAUGCAAGUCGAGCGAACGGACGAGAAGCUUGCUUCUCUGAUGUUAGAGGCGGACGGGUGAGUAACAUGUGGAUAAACUAACUAUAAGACUGGGAUAAUUUCGGGAAACCGGGGCUAAGAACGGAUAAUAUUUUGAACCGCAUGGUUCAAAAGUGAAAGAAGGUAUUGCUGUCGCUUAUAGAUGGAUCCGCGCUGCAUUAGCUAGUUGGUAAGGUAACGGCUUACCAAGGCAACGAUGCAUAGCCGACCUGAGAGCGUGGUCGGCCACACGGGAACUGAGACACGUUCCAGACUCCUACGGGAGGCAGCAGUAGGGAAUCGUCCGCAAUGGGCGAAAGCCUGACGGAGCAACGCCGGGUGAGUGAUGAUGGUCUUCUGAUCGUAAAGCUCUGUUAUUAUUGAAGAACAUAUGUGUUAGUAACUGUGCUCAUCUUGACGGUACCUAAUCAAAAAGCCACGGCUAACUACGUG
rnacentral:rRNA from 1 species